AUACGUAGGGAGCGAGCGUUGUCCGGAAUUACUGGGUGUAAAGGGAGCGUAGGCGGGAGUGCAAGUCAGAUGUGAAAUACAUGGGCUCAACCCAUGGGCUGCAUUUGAAACUGCAUUUCUUGAGUGAAGUAGAGGUAAGCGGAAUUCCUGGUGUAGCGGUGAAAUGCGUAGAUAUCAGGAGGAACACCGGUGGAGAAGGCGGCUUACGGGGCUUAUACUGACGCUGAGGCUCGAAGGCGUUGGGAGAAAACAGGAUUAGAUACCCGGGUAGUCCACGCUGUAAACGAGGAUUACUAGGUGUGGGGUGACUGACCCCUUCCGUGCCGCAGUUAACACAAUAAGUAAGCCGCCUGGGGAGUACGGCCGCAAGGUUGAAACUCAAAUGAAUUGGCGGGG
rnacentral:rRNA from 1 species